GCCUUCUUAGUUCAGGGGCAGAACACUGGUCUUGUAAAUCAGGGGUCGUGAGUUCGAUUCUCACAGGGGGCA
rnacentral:tRNA from 1 species